rnacentral:rRNA from 1 species
CAGUCGCCGCGGGAACACGAAGGGUGCAAGCGUUAAUCGGAAUUACUGGGCGUAAAGCGUGCGUAGGCGGUGAGUUAAGUCUGCUGUGAAAUCCCCGGGCUCAACCUGGGAAUGGCAGUGGAUACUGGCUCGCUAGAGUGUGUCAGAGGAUGGUGGAAUUCCCGGUGUAGCGGUGAAAUGCGUAGAGAUCGGGAGGAACAUCAGUGGCGAAGGCGGCCAUCUGGGACAACACUGACGCUGAGGCACAAAAGCGUGGGGAGCAAACAGGAUUAGAUACCCCAGUAGUCCCUGUCUCUUAUAC